rnacentral:rRNA from 1 species
UACGGAGGGGGCAAGCGUUGUUCGGAAUUACUGGGCGUAAAGGGCGCGUAGGCGGAAGAUCAAGUCAGGGGUGAAAGGCCUGGGCUCAACCCGGGAACUGCCUUUGAAACUGGUUUUCUAGAGUACGGGAGAGGAUGGCGGAAUUCCCAGUGUAGAGGUGAAAUUCGUAGAUAUUGGGAAGAACACCGGUGGCGAAGGCGGCCAUCUGGCCCGGUACUGACGCUAAGGCGCGAAAGCGUGGGGAGCAAACAGG